rnacentral:rRNA from 1 species
GUGGGGAAUUUUGCACAAUGGGCGAAAGCCUGAUGCAGCAACGCCGCGUGUGUGAUGAAGGUCUUCGGAUCGUAAAGCACUUUCGACCGGGACGAACAAGCCUGGCCACACCAGGCCCUGACGGUACCGGGAGAAGAAGCACCGGCUAACUCUGUGCCAGCAGCCGCGGUAAUACAGAGGGUGCAAGCGUUGUUCGGAAUUAUUGGGCGUAAAGCGCGUGUAGGCGGCUUAGCAAGUCGGGCGUGAAAGCCCUCGGCUCAACCGAGGAAGUGCACCCGAAACUGCUGAGCUUGAGUGCCGGAGAGGAUGGCGGAAUUCCCCAAGUAGAGGUGAAAUUCGUAGAUAUGGGGAGGAACACCGGUGGCGAAGGCGGCCAUCUGGACGGUAACUGACGCUGAGACGCGAAAGCGUGGGGAGCAAACAGGAUUAGAAACCCCGGUAGUCC